rnacentral:tRNA from 2 species
GGAGGGGUGGCAGAGCGGACGAAUGCACCGGUCUUGAAAACCGGCGGGCGUCUUCGGCGCCCCGUGGGUUCGAAUCCCACCCCCUCCG